rnacentral:rRNA from 1 species
UACGUAGGGUGCGAGCGUUGUCCGGAAUUACUGGGCGUAAAGAGCUCGUAGGCGGUUUGUCGCGUCGUCCGUGAAAACUCGGAGCUUAACUCCGGGCGUGCGGGCGAUACGGGCAGACUUGAGUACUACAGGGGAGACUGGAAUUCCUGGUGUAGCGGUGAAAUGCGCAGAUAUCAGGAGGAACACCAAUGGCGAAGGCAGGUCUCUGGGCAGUUACUGACGCUGAGGAGCGAAAGCAUGGGUAGCGAACAGGAUUAGAUA